rnacentral:rRNA from 1 species
UACGUAGGGUGCAAGCGUUGUCCGGAAUUAUUGGGCGUAAAGAGCUCGUAGGCGGUUUGUCGCGUCUGCUGUGAAAACUCGGGGCUUAACCCCGGGCCUGCAGUGGGUACGGGCAGACUAGAGUGCGGUAGGGGAGACUGGAAUUCCUGGUGUAGCGGUGAAAUGCGCAGAUAUCAGGAGGAACACCGGUGGUGAAGGCGGGUCUCUGGGCCGUAACUGACGCUGAGGAGCGAAAGCGUGGGGAGCGAACAGG